AUCUGGAAUGGGGCCAGCCCAGCCCCGGCCUGACAAAUAAAAAUAGGCACAGGCAGUUUCAAAGGCUGGAAAGCAGCAGGAAAGCAGCAGCUCAGGAACCAGACUGAAGUUGUGAGACUUUGUUAUUUCCCAGACACUGGAAGUAGGACCCCGCUCACCCCAGAUCUGCAUUCCCAGCCCAGAUGGCUCCCAGGCCCAGUUUGGAACACCAGUGGAAGGCUGCAAAAUGAGACCAAAACCUUGGGAAAAGGUGGAGCAAUCACACGUUCGUGCAGCAGAACUCCUUACUCCACUUUGCUCGCUGCUCUGCCAACGCUUCCUCCUGAAUUUUGGAGGGCCAUACACACCAGAAACUUGGGCUUAAUUAAUGAACCUGUUUCUUGCAAGACACUAUGAAAUUUUGAUAUGGGAUAUUUUAUCUUUUUUACACUUUAAAGCAAUUUUGCUUGCCUGCCUUCAGUUUUACUUAUCCACAUUUCUGUCCUUCCCGGUGCUGGAAAUGGUUCUGACCUCCUGUGACUCUCAAAGAUUGUCAUCUUAAAGAAUCUGGGUCCUCCACCAAGUCUGGUAUCUUUUCCAGUUAUUUCAGCAAA